rnacentral:RNase_P_RNA from 1 species
UGAGCUGGCUGGGCGGCCGCGGAUCACCUUCCGGCCGGAUGGGGGAUAACGGUCGAGGGUGGUUCGAGGAAAGUCCGGACUUCACAGAGCAGGGUGAUUGCUAACGGCAAUCCGAGGUGACUCGCGGGAAAGUGCCACAGAAAUCAGACCGCCACUGCGGACCCCUCGGGUGAUGCGGUGGUAAGGGUGAAACGGUGCGGUAAGAGCGCACCAGCGUUCCGGGUGACCGGAGCGGCUAGGCAAACCCCACCCGAAGCAAGGCCAAGAAUGUCGCGCGGGGGCGCGCGGCAGCGCAGGCGUUGGAGGGCUGCUCGCCCGAGUCUGCGGGUAGGCCGCUUGAGGCACCCGGUGACGGUGUGUCCAGAUGGAUGGUCGCCGCCUCGCUGCCGGACAGGCGGUGAGGAACAGAAUCCGGCUUACAGGCCAGCUCAUCCG